ACCCACUGGGAUAGCUCAGUUGGUAGAGUAUGAGACUCCUAAUCUCAGGGUUAUGGGUUCAAUCCCCAUGUUGGGCG